CAGAUACCUUUUGAUACUGUUGCUAAUCCACAUCUUCCUACCUGGGUAGUUCCUCCUGCUUCAGUGUGUUCAUUCAUGUCAUUUGGACCACCUGAGAAAUAAAAUGCUACUCACGGGCAGGAAAGGGUGACUGAAACCUGCCCAAAUCUGUCCCAAGCAUUUCUGUAGGAUCAUUGUUUGUUUUAACUAGUAAGAAUGAAUACAUUUGGCUGCACAGUAAAAGCCUUUUCUUUCCAAAGUGGAAUAGAACUAGUAUUCUAACUAUAUCCUUUUUUGCCUUAUUAGAAUUCAGCAUUUUAUUUAGUUCAAAAGGAAGAGGUAGAUAAUCUUUGACUGUUCAAAAUGCUUGUUUUAUUCAUAGAGUGUGACAGAGUUUGACGCUAGUUACAGAAUUUGGGCUUGUUUUAAUGGAGAUUUUGCUGUAUAGAAUUGUGUUUAGUACACAGAAGAUUAAUUUUGUAAGAUCAUUUGUUGACUGCGUUAGUAAGGUGCUUCAUUUAAUCUAUGUACGAGAAAAAGUAUUUUUAAAGAUGCUUCAGAAUGCUCCAAACGUUUCUGUUAACUCUUCAGUGUGAACUGAAGCCCUGCGUGUGUGAGAAGGGAAGUCCUGGACUACCAGGCCCUCCUGGUGAGGAAAGAGAACGUGGAAAAAAAAGGUCAAGAGGUAUGCAUGUUUCCUUCUUUAAGAAUAACAUUUUUUUUUCAGUUUGGCACAGAUGUUUCAUACCCUCAGUUAUACUAAACUAAAUCUUUGUUGGAAAAAAAAUCUAUGUUCAGAAUAGCUGUUCUUAAUAUGCCUUGUGGCUGAUGAUGUCCUUAAAUACUCUCUUGACUUGGAACAGUACUGACAACAGGAAAGUUUGAAGUAACAGUGUAGGCUGUUUACUUGUGACAGAAACACAAGCAGAAUUUUUCAGGGAGGAAUGAGGGGCGACUGCUUCCUAUAGGACAAGUUGUUGGGAGCUGAGGGUGAUGAUCCAUCCAGCAAGUCAAGGGCCUCACCAGCCAGGGCCUGUCCCACAGUCGCUCAGUGAGCAUAGCAGGGCAGGCCUCAGUGGCAGCUGAGGUCAGCCAAGAGUCCCAUCAGCAGCCAAGUCCAUAGUGAUGAGGCAGGUCUGAGGUGAAGCAGGAAGGCUAGUCAAGGUCAGGAUCAGGUCUGGUGAUGGUAACCGGGAUCAGCCACAGCCCAGUGGUUGUCAGGCAAGUCCGUAGUGACGAGGCAAGUCCGAGGUCAAGCUGUGAAAUCAAUCCACAGUCAGGGUGUAGGUCCAGGUCAGUGGGUUCCUGCCAGGCAUGGGCAGGGCUGUGACACAGUGAGAGCUAUAGUUCAGGCAGGGCCAAACUCUAGAGCCUCAGCUAAAGCAGCUCCUGUGGGCUGGUGAGUCUCCCCGCAGCACCGCCCAGGUGCCUCUCCCCAGAGUCACCAGAGGCAAGGGGGGCUGGCCUCAGCUGCACGGUCUCUAAGCCGACCUUGGACCAACCAGGCAGCCAGACCUCCAGGAGGGGGGAUGCUCUCAGAGCCCUUACAGAAUUAAGGAUUACAUCAGUCUUAUCUAAGUAAGUUUUCCAUGUAUUUCCAUCCCGUAAUGCUAACAUUCCCCCAAUUUGAACUCCUGAAGAG
ensembl:lncRNA